rnacentral:rRNA from 1 species
UAAGUGAAGAGUUUGAUCCUGGCUCAGAGUGAACGCUGGCGGUAGGCCUAACACAUGCAAGUCGAACGGCAGCACAGGAGAGCUUGCUCUCUGGGUGGCGAGUGGCGGACGGGUGAGGAAUACAUCGGAAUCUACUCUGUCGUGGGGGAUAACGUAGGGAAACUUACGCUAAUACCGCAUACGACCUACGGGUGAAAGUGGGGGACCGCAAGGCCUCACGCGAUUGAAUGAGCCGAUGUCGGAUUAGCUAGUUGGCGGGGUAAAGGCCCACCAAGGCGACGAUCCGUAGCUGGUCUGAGAGGAUGAUCAGCCACACUGGAACUGAGACACGGUCCAGACUCCUACGGGAGGCAGCAGUGGGGAAUAUUGGACAAUGGGCGCAAGCCUGAUCCAGCCAUACCGCGUGGGUGAA